rnacentral:lncRNA from 1 species
AACUUCCUGAAAAAGCACAAGAACAAAUCUGCACAGACACACCCCUAGAACCCUGACCAGGGGUAUUCUAUCUGCUACCCAAGAUCCAUAAAACUGGCAAUCCUGGAUGCCCCAUCAUCUCAGGCAUUGGCACCCUGUUAGCAGGACUGUCUGGCUAUGUAGACUCUCUCCUCAGGCCCUACGCUACCAGCACUCCUAGCUAUCUUUGAGACACUACUGACUUCCUGAGGAAACUACAAUCCAUUGGUGAUCUUCCAGAAAACACCAUCCUGGCCACUAUGGAUGUAGAAGCCCUCUACACCAACAUGCCACACAAAGAUGGACUACAAGCCGUCAGGAAUAGUAUCCCGAUAAUGUCAUGGCAAACCUGGUAGCUGAACUUUGUGACUUUGUCCUCACCCACAACUAUUUCACAUUUGGGGACAAUGUAUACCUUCAAGUCAGCGGCACUGCUAUGGCUACCUGCAUGGCCCCACAGUAUGCCAACAUUUUUAUGGCUGACUUAGAACGCUUCCUCAGUUCUCGUCCCCUAACACCCCUCCUCUACUUGCCCUACAUUGAUGACAUCUUCAACAUCUGGACCCAUGGAAAAGAAGCCCUUGAGGAAUUCCACCAUGAUUUCAACAGUUUCCAUUCCACCAUCAACCUCUGCCUGGACCAGCCCACACAAGAGAUCCACUUCCUGAACACUACAGUGCUAAUAAGCGAUGGUCACAUAAACAUCACUCUAUACCAGAAACCUACUGACCGCUAUACUUACCUAUAUGCCUCCAGCUUUCAUCCAGACCACACCACACGAUUCAUUGUCUACAGCCAAGCUCUGAAAUAUAACUGCAUUUGCUCCAACCCCUCAGACAGAGACAAACACCUACAAGAUCUCUAUCAAGCAUUCUUACAACUACAAUACCCACCUGCUGACGUGAAGAAACAGAUUGACAGAGACAGAAGAGUACCCAGAAGUCACCUACUACAGGACAGGCCCAACAAAGAAAGUAACAGCCCCCAACUAAAACCUCUCCAGUGCAUCAUCAAGGAUCUACAACCUAUCCUGAAGGACAAUCCCUCACUCUCACAGAUCUUGGGAGACAGGCCGGUCCUCACUUACAGACAGCCCCCCAACCUGAAGCAAAUACUCAGCAGCAAC